AACGAACGCUGGCGGCAUGCCUAACACAUGCAAGUCGAACGCCCUGGUUCGCCAGGGAGUGGCGCACGGGUGAGUAACGCGUGGGAACCUGCCCGGCAGUACGGGACAACCGCGGGAAACUGCGGCUGAUACCGUAUACGGCCUGAGGGCGAAAGAAUUUCGCUGUCGGAGGGGCCCGCGUCGGAUUAGGUAGUUGGUGGGGUAACGGCCUACCAAGCCUGCGAUCCGUAGCUGGUCUGAGAGGAUGAUCAGCCACACUGGGACUGAGACACGGCCCAGACUCCUACGGGAGGCAGCAGUGGGGAAUAUUGGACAAUGGGCGCAAGCCUGAUCCAGCAAUGCCGCGUGAGUGAUGAAGGCCUUAGGGUUGUAAAGCUCUUUCGCCCGCGACGAUGAUGACGGUAGCGGGAGAAGAAGCCCCGGCUAACUCCGUGCCAGCAGCCGCGGUAAUACGGAGGGGCUAGCGUUGUUCGGAAUUACUGGGCGUAAAGGGCGCGCA
rnacentral:rRNA from 1 species